CUCUGGCGGCAUGCCUUACACAUGCAAGUCGAACGGUAACAGGUCUUCGGAUGCUGACGAGUGGCGAACGGGUGAGUAAUACAUCGGAACGUGCCCAGUAAUGGGGGAUAGCUCGGCGAAAGCCGGAUUAAUACCGCAUACGCCCUGAGGGGGAAAGUGGGGGAUCGCAAGACCUCACGUUAUUGGAGCGGCCGAUGGCUGAUUAGCUAGUUGGUAGGGUAAAGGCCUACCAAGGCGACGAUCAGUAGCUGGUCUGAGAGGACGAUCAGCCACACUGGGACUGAGACACGGCCCAGACUCCUACGGGAGGCAGCAGUGGGGAAUUUUGGACAAUGGGGGAAACCCUGAUCCAGCAAUGCCGCGUGUGCGAAGAAGGCCUUCGGGUUGUAAAGCACUUUUGUCAGGGAAGAAAUCCUUUGGGCUAAUACCCUAGGGGGAUGACGGUACCUGAAGAAUAAGCACCGGCUAACUACGUGCCAGCAGCCGCGGUAAUACGUAGGGUGCAAGCGUUAAUCGGAAUUACUGGGCGUAAAGCGUGCGCAGGCGGUUGUGUAAGACAGGUGUGAAAUCCCCGGGCUUAACCUGGGAGUUGCAUUUGUGACUGCACGACUAGAGUGUGUCAGAGGGGGGUGGAAUUCCACGUGUAGCAGUGAAAUGCGUAGAUAUGUGGAGGAACACCAAUGGCGAAGGCAGCCCCCUGGGGAUAACACUGACGCUCAUGCACGAAAGCGUGGGGAGCAAACAGGAUUAGAUACCCUGGUAGUCCACGCCCUAAACGAUGUCAACUAGUUGUUGGGGAUUUACUUCCUUGGUAACGUAGCUAACGCGUGAAGUUGACCGCCUGGGGAGUACGGCCGCAAGGUUAAAACUCAAAGGAAUUGACGGGGACCCGCACAAGCGGUGGAUGAUGUGGAUUAAUUCGAUGCAACGCGAAAAACCUUACCUACCCUUGACAUGGCAGGAACUUUCCAGAGAUGGAUUGGUGCUCGAAAGAGAACCUGCACACAGGUGCUGCAUGGCUGUCGUCAGCUCGCGUCGUGAGAUGUUGGGUUAAGUCCCGCAACGAGCGCAACCCUUGUCAUUAGUUGCUACGAAAGGGCACUCUAAUGAGACUGCCGGUGACAAACCGGAGGAAGGUGGGGAUGACGUCAAGUCCUCAUGGCCCUUAUGGGUAGGGCUUCACACGUCAUACAAUGGUCGGUACAGAGGGUUGCCAAGCCGCGAGGUGGAGCCAAUCCCAGAAAACCGAUCGUAGUCCGGAUCGCAGCCUGCAACUCGACUGCGUGAAGUCGGAAUCGCUAGUAAUCGCGGAUCAGAAUGCCGCGGUGAAUACGUUCCCGGGUCUUGUACACACCGCCCGUCACACCAUGGGAGUGGGUUCUACCAGAAGUGGCUAGUCUAACCGCAAGGAGGACGGUCACCACGGUAGGAUUCAU
rnacentral:rRNA from 1 species